rnacentral:snRNA from 1 species
UCGUGCAGCGGCAGCCUCAGAACGCACCAAUCUUUCGCCUUUUACUAAAGAUUGCCGUGGGGCUGCCGCAUUAAAAUGCACAUAAACCAUAUUUUUGGGGCGCUUCGGCGCCA